CGCGGGGUGGAGCAGUUGGCAGCUCGUCAGGCUCAUAACCUGAAGGUCGGUGGUUCGAGUCCACCCCCCGCUACCA
rnacentral:tRNA from 1 species